GACGAACGCUGGCGGCGUGCUUAACACAUGCAAGUCGAACGAAGUGGCGAACGGGUGAGUAACGCGUAAUCAACCUGCCCUUCAGAGGGGGACAACAGUUGGAAACGACUGCUAAUACCGCAUACUGAAGGAGGGGAUUGCGUCUGAUUAGCUAGUGGGAGGGGGAACGGCCCACGAAGGCGGUGAUCAGUAGCCGGUCUGAGAGGAUUAACGGCCACAUUGGGACGUAGACACGGCCCAGACUCCUACGGGAGUCAGCAGUGGGGAAUCUUCCGAAAUGGAAGAAAGUCUGACGGAGCAACGCCGCGUGAGUGAUGACGGCCUUCGGGUUGUAAAGCUCUGUUAAUCGGGACGCGGUACCGGAAUAGAAAGCCACGGCUAACUACGUGCCAGCAGCCGCGGUAAUAC
rnacentral:rRNA from 1 species